CUGCUUUGACUGUAAGAGAUCAAAUUAAGACAGACUUACUUUCAUUUCAGUCACAUUAGACUUGAGUUUAUUUCAUUAGAUGCAAUAGCUCCAAAGUCUAUCAGUGAAAAUUCUUCAGUGCAUUGUUUUAUGAACUAAUGCAAAUGUUUUCAUUACAUAUUUGAUAGUUAUUUAAUAGUAGCUUGACUCCAGAUGUUUGUGCAAAACAUGAUGAUCAUGUUCUCCAGCGUCUUUAAGAUGGUCCAGAGAGCAUCUUGGACUUCAGUGCAUGGAGAAACAUCUAACCUCAGUAUCCAUGUCUUCUUCUUCUGAGUCCUCUGCAAGGAGAUCAGCAUGCUGAGUGUAAUCAAACGCAGGGAACUUUAUGGGCAACUCGCUCCAUUUGCUGAAUGUCUUCUUUUUGGAGCCGUAUGUGACCACAAAAUUCUUGAUAUGAAGGCAGGGACACUCAAUGCUCUUAUACAGCAUCAUCGAGCCCCAUUGCUGAUCAGGAACGAGACAAAAAAUCCUGACUCCGCCACCAGCGUGUAACUACUGUCUUCCGCUCUUCCUCGACCACGGGCCUGCAGAGAGGGAAAAAUGGCACUUCUUACCUCUUCAUUCAUGUUGAUACUUCAGAUACUUCAGCAUGAGAAUACAAGCUCAAAUCGGCAGUGUUCAAUUAGUACAAUGGAUGGAAAUCAUGUGACUGUACCUGACUGAUCAUCAUCAUCCAUUGUGAGAUCUCCCUCCUCCUCCUCCUCCUCCUCACCUUCUUUGUACAUGUCAUCCUCUUUGUACCCAGACCGCUGCUGUCUACGCUGCUGUCCAGAUCCUCUGACAGAAGCGAGUUGUUCGGCGAGAGAACAGGAGGGACAGUCGGCAUAGAGCUAUUCAUGUUAGUCUUCACUACAGCAGCCGAGCAUGACUGUUCAGCCUCCUCAACAAUCUCAACUGACAUGGCCUCUGAAACACACAGGUCUGGAAGAGCUGUGGGACGUCCUGGGCUUUCCCUACGGUAGAUGAGAGAGUCAGUGCAGUCCUGGAUCAGACGGCGGUCUGUGGAGCUCCAGAGCGGCUGUCGUGUCUGGAGGGGAGGAGUGCUGGGCUGGAAGCAGGGAUCUGGACUGCUGUCGUGUCAGAGGAAGAGUCUGGCUGUUUGUGAAGCGGUGUGUAGAAGGAUGCAGUGUGGUACCUGUGCUGUGCAGUGCUGUGGGUUGGUGGGAACAGAAGCGACGGGCUGCACUCUGAUGGCUGUUUUUUUGUAGUCGAGACCGGCUGUGAGGCUGCUGUAGGCUGGAGGUCCUAAACAUGUCUGUCUCUGGAGCAGCUGGAGGAUACUCUGAAUGUCUGACGUCAUCUGAGACUCUAACCUGGUUUCAUCUGAUUCUCUGCUAUAAGAUGUGCAAUGUGGAGCGCAGCUGAUGCAGGAUUUUUGCUGCCUGGUGCGUCUUUCUCUUGCAGUGUGGCUCAUCCACAGCUGUUUCCUGAUGAAGCAUGAUCUGGGUUUUACCUGCUCAGGUGUUCUUGCAGCUGGUCUAGUCUCUGCUCCACUUCUCCAUACGUGACGUCACAGUCCAGAUCAUCAUCUUCAGCGCCGCCCUGUUCCUGCACAGCCGUGUCCAUGCCUGCUUUCACACUGUCAGCUAACCAUCUGUCAGUCUGGAUCUCUGAAAAAGAAUACACCUGUGGCCCAUAAGAAAAGCAGAAUGAUGCUGUGAAGGAAGAAACAGAAACUUCGCAUCUCAGCAGGAGGACUGCAGGCCGGUGUGGAGGUGUAGCUCUGUAAUGAUGGAUACUCUAUUAUUCCUGCUCCCAGAAGCCUUUGCUGUUCCUCUCUGGAGGUGUGACGGUCCUCUGAGCUUCUCUUAGAGCUGAGACGAGACUCUCGCCGCUCCUUCCUGCACUCGCUGUCCGUUUCCUUCAGGCUUCCUCCUACGGGACGAUCAGAGGUUAAAGGUCAGUUCCAGAUUGGUGAGGAAGUAGUCAGCGAACUCUGGAUACAUGUCCAAAACCUCCAGGAGCUCCUCUCUCUGGAUGGUGUGCAGGUCGCAGUAGCUGAGCGCUCGCACGUCUGCGUUCGACUUACCGGGCUUUGCAUAUAGGUGGAUCAUCUCUCCGAAUAUGUCAUUCUUACCUGGAGAACAAAGAACACCUUCAGCAGGUCGAAAAAAGCCGCUGAGGUCAUUACCAAGAUGGGUACUGAGUGACCUGAAUUGCUUUAAGAAUGGCCACCACUAUGUCGUCCUUGAGAAUCUCGAUGGAUCCUCGAGACAGGAAGUAGAGUGCGGUGAGGACGUCCCCGCAGUGCACGAGCGUAUCUCCAGGAGGAGCAUGGGUGGUUUUGAAGCGUAUGGCGAGAGCGCGCAGACAUCCUUGAGUCGCACCUCUGAAAGCCUUACAUCCCUCAAGGAGGCUGCGGUUCAGAUGAAGACAAAUAUCUGCCUGUAAACACUCAGGAAAGCCUUUUAAGACCUGCGGAGAGACGCGACAAUGAGGUGACGCUCAAGGGCGACGAGGUCGUUCCAUUUCAUAUGAGGCAGACAUGGAGAGAGAAAGGUGUUGCUUUCAGUACAUACACUCACACAUUUACACUGAUGUGAUGACAUGU